GAUGAACGCUGGCGGCGUGCCUAAUACAUGCAAGUCGAGCGAACAGACGAGGAGCUUGCUCCUCUGACGUUAGCGGCGGACGGGUGAGUAACACGUGGAUAACCUACCUAUAAGACUGGGAUAACUUCGGGAAACCGGAGCUAAUACCGGAUAAUAUAUUGAACCGCAUGGUUCAAUAGUGAAAGACGGUUUUGCUGUCACUUAUAGAUGGAUCCGCGCCGCAUUAGCUAGUUGGUAAGGUAACGGCUUACCAAGGCAACGAUGCGUAGCCGACCUGAGAGGGUGAUCAGCCACACUGGAACUGAGACACGGUCCAGACUCCUACGGGAGGCAGCAGUAGGGAAUCUUCCGCAAUGGGCGAAAGCCUGACGGAGCAACGCCGCGUGAGUGAUGAAGGUCUUCGGAUCGUAAAACCCUGUUAUUAGGGAAGAACAAAUGUGUAAGUAACUAUGCACGUCUUGACGGUACCUAAUCAGAAAGCCACGGCUAACUACGUG
rnacentral:rRNA from 1 species